ensembl:lncRNA
GUCAGGGAGAGAGAUUUGAAGGUGCUACACUGCUGAUUUUGAAGAUGGAGGAAGAGGUCAUGAGCCAAGAUACACAGGCUGCCUGUAGAAGGUCAAGAAGACAAGUAAAUGAUUGUUUGCAAGAGCCUGUAGAAGGAAAGCAGUUGGGCCAACACCUUGAUUUCAACCCAGUGCAACCUGUUUUGGAUUUCUGCUCUUCCGAACAGUAAGAUGAUAGAUGCUCCACCACUCCCACCCCCAGAACCUUCCCCUGCUCCCACCUGGCCCUGGAGCUCCUGCAGUGAUACAUAGUACUUGGACCACCAGUCAAGCUCUUCAGGCUCUGGGAUGUCCUCCUCCAGCCCUGGGCCUCAAUUCAGGAGGCCUCCCAGAGGCAGCUUCUUCAGAGGAGCCUGGGGGAGCAAGAACUCAGUGCCCCUAGCCCAGUACCACCCCAAGCCCUGCCAGCCCGUUCUUCAUACAUUCCCCCCACUCCAUCACCUUCAGGAGCCGUCUGGGUGUCCUGUCGGCCUUGAAGGGGUCCAGGGACCUCUGUCC